ACAGUGGACGCGAGCAUCUUUGUGGUCAAGUUGUCAAGGGCGAACGGUGGAUGCCUUGGCACCAGGAGCCGAUGAAGGACGUGGGAGGCCGCGAUAGGCCUGGGGGAGCUGUCAACCAAGCUGUGAUCCCAGGGUGUCCGAAUGGGGAAACCCGGCAUCAGUCAUGUGAUGUCACCCGCACCUGAACACAUAGGGUGUGUGGGGGGAACGCGGGGAAGUGAAACAUCUCAGUACCCGUAGGAAGAGAAAACAAAUAGUGAUUCCGUGAGUAGUGGCGAGCGAAAGCGGAUUGAGGCUAAACCGGCGGCGUGUGAUACCUGUCAGGGGUUGCGUGGUCGGGGUUGUGGGACCCUGCUGAACAAGCUGACACUUGUUCGAGGAGUUACAAAGCCAGUGGCUAGUCGAACAGUCUGGAAUGGCUGACCGUAGACGGUGAUAGUCCGGUAGGUGAAAGUUGCUGGUCUUCUGUGGGUGUUCCCGAGUAGCGGCGGACUCCUGAAAUCUGCCGUGAAUCUGCCAGGACCACCUGGUAAGCCUAAAUACUUCCUGGUGACCGAUAGCGGACGAGUACCGUGAGGGAAUGGUGAAAAGUACCCCGGGAGGGGAGUGAAAUAGUACCUGAAACCGUUCGCCUACAAUCCGUCGGAGCCUUGCGGGGUGACGGCGUGCCUUUUGAAGAAUGAGCCUGCGAGUUAGUGGCAUGUGGCGAGGUUAACCCGUGUGGGGGAGCCGUAGCGAAAGCGAGUCUGAAUAGGGCGUUUUUAGUCGCAUGCUCUAGACCCGAAGCGGAGUGAUCUAGCCAUGGGCAGGCUGAAGCGCGGGUAAGACCGCGUGGAGGGCCGAACCCACCAACGUUGAAAAGUUGGGGGAUGACCUGUGGUUAGGGGUGAAAGGCCAAUCAAACUCCGUGAUAGCUGGUUCUCCCCGAAAUGCAUUUAGGUGCAGCGUCGCGUGUUUCUUGCCGGAGGUAGAGCACUGGAUGGUCUAGGGGGCCCACAAGCUUACCGAAAUCAGCCAAACUCCGAAUGCCGGUAAGUGAGAGCGCGGCAGUGAGACUGCGGGGGAUAAGCUUCGUAGUCGAGAGGGAAACAGCCCAGAUCACCAGCUAAGGCCCCUAAGC
rnacentral:rRNA from 1 species